CCUACGGGUGGCAGCAGUAGGGAAUGUUGCGCAAUGGGCGAAAGCCUGACGCAGCAACGCCGCGUGAUAGAGACGACCUUCGGGGUGUAAAGAUCUGUCAGUGGGGACGAAACUUGACGGUACCCACAGAGGAAGCACCGGCUAACUCCGUGCCAGCAGCCGCGGUAAUACGGGGGGUGCAAGCGUUGUCCGGAAUCAUUGGGCGUAAAGAGGUCGUAGGCGGCACGUAAAGUCUGGUGUUAAAGGCAGAGGCUCAACUUCUGUACGGCACUGGAAACCUGCGAGCGAGAGGGCGGUAGAGGUAAGGGGAAUGCCUGGUGUAGCGGGGAAAUGCUGAGAGAUCAGGAGGAACAUCGGGGGCGUAGGCGCUUUACUGGGCCGUAAUUGACGCUGAGGAACGAAAGCCAGGGUAGCAAAUGGGAUUAGAUACCCUUGUAGUC
rnacentral:rRNA from 1 species